UACAGAGGUCCCAAGCGUUGUUCGGAUUCAUUGGCGUAAAGGGUGCGUAGGCGGCGCGGUAAGUCGGGUGUGAAAUCUCCGGGCUCAACUCGGAGAGGUCACUCGAUACUGCCUGACUGGAGUCCGGUAGGGGGGUGUGAAGUUCCCAGUGUAGCGGUGAAAUGCGCAGAUAUUGGGAGGAAUACCAAUGGCGAAGGCAGCACCCUGGGCCGGUACUGACGCUGAGGCGCGAAAGCCAGGGGAGCAA
rnacentral:rRNA from 1 species